AAGAGGUGCAUUGCCUUUAAUUUCAGCAGACCCUGUCCCUGCCAGGCACUGAGGGCUCACCUCUACCGGGAGAGACCUCAGGGUUCCUUUCCUGCUUUCUCCGGGUUUAUCUGCUUGGAGCUUGUAUUCAGUAUUCCAAAUUUGUUAAUUAAAGCCGCAAUUGGAGCCUGGUUGAGCUACCUUUCCGUGUUCUCAGCAGAGACCGUUCCUUGUUCCCACAGGGAAGUGUUCCAACUCAGCCUGCCGUGCCAGUGGGAAAGGGGCACCAGCCUCUGCCAUUUGGGGAGCUUUACUUACAGAUCUACAGUGUGAUCUCAGUCCUUUCACCCAUUCCAGACUGAUGUAUGAUGUAUGAACAGUCAUGGAUAUCCCCCAAACUGUUUACCAAUUGUUCCUAUUUACUAGUUGCUCUAGGGAACUAACUAAAUCCCACACCUCCCUACACUGCCAUCUUGCCCCACCUCUCAUUAAAACUUUUAAUGUAGAAAAUA